rnacentral:rRNA from 1 species
GACGAACGCUGGCGGCGUGCUUAACACAUGCAAGUCGAACGGAAAGGCCCUGCUUUUGUGGGGUGCUCGAGUGGCGAACGGGUGAGUAACACGUGAGUAACCUGCCCUUGACUUUGGGAUAACUUCAGGAAACUGGGGCUAAUACCGGAUAGGAGCUCCUGCUGCAUGGUGGGGGUUGGAAAGUUUCGGCGGUUGGGGAUGGACUCGCGGCUUAUCAGCUUGUUGGUGGGGUAGUGGCUUACCAAGGCUUUGACGGGUAGCCGGCCUGAGAGGGUGACCGGCCACAUUGGGGCUGAGAUACGGCCCAGACUCCUGCGGGAGGCAGCAGUGGGGAAUAUUGCACAAUGGGCGGAAGCCUGAUGCAGCAACGCCGCGUGCGGGAUGACGGCCUUCGGGUUGUAAACCGCUUUCGCCUGUGACGAAGCGUGAGUGACGGUAAUGGGUAAAGAAGCACCGGCUAACUACGUG